GGACCUACGGGGGGCAGCAGUGGGGAAUAUUGGGCAAUGGACGCAAGUCUGACCCAGCAACGCCGCGUGAAGGAAGAAGGCUUUCGGGUUGUAAACUUCUUUUAAGGGGGAAGAGCAGAAGACGGUACCCCUUGAAUAAGCCACGGCUAACUACGUGCCAGCAGCCGCGGUAAUACGUAGGGGGCAAGCGUUAUCCGGAUUUACUGGGUGUAAAGGGAGCGUAGACGGCCGUGCAAGUCUGAUGUGAAAACCCGGGGCUCAACCCCGGGACUGCAUUGGAAACUGCAUGGCUGGAGUGUCGGAGG
rnacentral:rRNA from 1 species